GUCUGCCCUGCCUCCCCCUCCGCCGCGCCGGCGACGCUGCUCCGCUUCCACUCCCACGCGAAGCCCUCCGCUACUUGCGCUCUAGUUAAGUUCUACUCGCUCCAGGACAACCCCAUUUGCUCCCUCGCCGCGCUGUCCCCGCCCCGUUUCCCGCCCAAAACCCUAGGUCCCGGCCAUGGCGCCGCCGCAUGAGCUGGACCUCUCCGACGAGGUCGAGGGAGAGGAAGAAGGCACCACCGACUUCGUAUUCCGCCUCGCCGGUGACCCCAUCCCCCUCCUCCCUACCACCUCCUCGCCUCUCCCGCUCUUCGACCUCCAGUCGCCUCCCUCGCGGCCGCUCACCGUCUCCGACCGCCACGGCGCUGUCUUCCUCGCCCACCCUAAUGGGUUUAUGGCUGCGAGGACCAAGGCGUUGAUCGAAGCUAGCAAGGAGGCACGAGAGAAGGGCAAGGGGAGCACCCGCUGCGCGCAGGACUGCUGCGUCGCGGACAUUCCUCUUCCCGGGGUCUCCUUCCUCGAGCUCUCCCGUGAUGAAUCGGUGUUAGCUGCCUGCGCUGGCAAUGUGAUGCACUUCUUCUCGGCUUCUUCCCUGCUCACCGACAAGGAUGCAGAACCAUUGUCAACAUGUACCAUGGAAGGAUCCAACACUAUUAAAGAUUUUAAGUGGCUAAAUCAGGCCUCCAAAGCCUUUAUUGUACUCUUGAAAGACGGGUUGCUGUCUCAAGGAAGUUUGGGGGAAGGUCUUAAGGAUGCAAUUGAAAAUGUUGAUGCUGUUGACUGCUGCAAGGAAGGGACUCACAUUGUUCUUUCAAAAAAGAAUGUUCUUAACAUAUUGUCGUCAGAUCUUAAGGAAAUGUGUUGCAUGUCCCUCUUGUUCCAGCUAUGGUCUGAUGAUAAUGAUUCAGAAGAUGCUAGCAUCAAAGUGGAUUCAAUUGGAUGGGUGCGCGAUGACAGUAUUGUUGUUGGUUGUGUAAAAUUGAAUGAAGAAGGCAAUGAAGAGGGUUACCUUGUCCAAGUUAUAAGAAGCUCUGGAAACACAUUUUUUGAGAACUCAGACAAGCCAGUUGUUUUCACCUAUGUGGAUUUUUUCCGAGGAAUCAUGGAUGAUGUUUUACCACCUGGAGCUGGACCUAAUCUGUUACUGGGCUUUCUGCAUCGCUGGGAUCUAAUGGUGGCUUCCAAUAGAAAGAGCAUUGACGAACACAUUUCACUCUUGAAAUGGUCAUCUGCAACUGAUGACGAAAAAUCCGUAGUAUAUCUUGAGAUGUUGGAGGAUAAAUAUAGUCCUAGGAUUGACCUACAAGAGAAUGGUGAUGACAAUGUUACAUUGGGGUUUGGUGUCGAGAAUGUGUCAUUAUAUCAGAAGAUCACUGUAACAGUUGGUCCUGAACAAAAGGAGGUUGCUCCUCAACAUGUUCUACUUUAUCUGACUGGUGAAGGGAAAUUGAAUAUAUAUUUUCUUGCCAGAAUUUCUGAUCCUUCUGAAUUGACUCAAAUGAAGCUAUCUGCGGCUAUUGAAGAUAGCAAUGUGAAGAAACUAAUUUCACCUGCAACUGUUUCUGGAAAAGAGUUUACUCCAAGUGUUACCAGUUCAUUGGGCAGGAGUAUUCUCACAGAAAGUGGGGCUGAGCUUUCUAGUGCACAACCAGAUAGAGACCAGCAUGGAUCAACAGAUGUGAAAAACAUUUCUCCAGUUUCAAAAACCAAGGAAAUAGUGGCUUCCCCACUUGCACCUGCCUCCUUAGCACCAGCAAGCAACAUGAAGCCUGGAAUAUCUUUCAGCUUUCCUACUGUUAAUACCGUAGGUAUGAAUACAGCAGGAAGCAACACAUCUAGUGAAUUUGUUUCUUCUUGUCAACAAAGCAGCAGUAGCACUUUCAUAAAUAACCAACUUGGUAAAGGAAACGUCGGUUCCACCCAACCGGUGGGAGCACUCGGGGGAUCUCAGAACUCAAAGAAAGAUGGUGGCCUUAAUUUUAAAUCAUUGAAGUUCAGUUCUGAUGGAUCCACCCUGGUUAAGUCUGGAGAAAGGAGUGAAAGUGGUUUUGGAAGUCACCCACUGCAAAGCAGCUAUACUACUGAUAAGAAAAUUCCUAGUUCAGUUGGCUUAAGUUCUGAACCAUUGCCAUCAAUUUCUCCAAUAAAACCUUCCUCAGCUGGACCUUCAUCCACUGGCUUUCGUACAGGAAAUAUUGAAGCAUUUCCUACCUCACGUGGAUCACCUCUACCACAGGAAAGCAUUGACAAAUCACAUAACAGAACACAUGCAGCAGUGGACUAUUCUAAAAAUUUCAAGUCAGGCACAAUGCUCGAUACUGAACAAGAUUUGUCUAAAAAAUUUUACAGUAUUAAUGAUAUGGCCAAGGAGCUAGAUACACUCCUAGCAUACAUAGAGAAGGAUGGUGGUUUCAGAGAUGCCUGCAUAACCUUCCAGGAACGCCCUCUUUCUAUGUUUGAGGGUGAUUUGCAAAAUUUUCUGGAACUGUUGCAGAUCUUUAAGAACAAGAUAGUAGAACAGUGUUCAAGAGCUGAAAACCUGCGGAAUAAGAUGUUUCAAGUCUCUGCUAGGCAAGCUUACAUGAAAGGAAUUGUGGAUCAAUCUUCAGAUACCCAGUACUGGGACAUAUGGAACCGUCAGAAAUUGAGUCCAGAAUUUGAAGUGAAGAGGCAGAAUAUUCUCAAAGCUAACCAGAAUUUGACAAACCAGCUGGUAGAGCUGGAGAGGCAUUUCAAUAAUCUGGAGAUGAACAAAUUCGGAGAAACAGGAAGAAUUGCUUCUAGUCGCAGAGCUAUUUAUUCUAAUAAGUCACGGUCUAGUCAGAUGCAACUAUCUAGUGUGUACAAUGCGCUGAAUUCACAAUUAGCAGCAGCUGAACAACUGUCAGAUUGUCUCACAAAACAAAUAUCUGCACUAAAUAUAAGCUCUCCUUCUACAAAACGAGGGGCAGUGGCCAAAGAGUUGUUUGAAUCAAUUGGUCUAGAUCACAAGAUGGAUGCAUCCAAAUUUUCAGGUGGUACUCCUUCCAAUUCAGUGAAGAGAUAUCCAUCAACAAGAGAACACAUAACUAGCAUAUUAGGGCCUUCCAAGAGUGCUGAGCCUGAGACUGCAAGGAGGAGGAGAGAGUCGCUGGAUAGGAGCCUGGCUAGUUUGGAGCCUCAGAAAACUACUGUUAAAAGAAUAGCGCAACAACAGCGCCUCAAGAUCAGCAGUGACCUGCCAUUCAGGUCAAAUAAGAAAAUAUUUGAUUCCCAGAUGGCGGCUAUCUCCCAGGAGAAAUCUAGUGGUAGCCCCACUUCUUCCAUAGUAGAAUCAUAUGCAAACAAGCUGCAUUAUCCAAGUGAAGUGCUGCAUGAGAAAACAAAACCGUCAAGUGCCCAGCACAACACAUUGUUCAAAUGGGUAAAAGAGUCAGCUGGACCAUCUCAAGGCCCUCAGCAUAAGUAUCCUGACUUAACAGGGCAGCUGAAAAGCUCUGACCAGCCACCAAAGUUAGCGCCAUCUUCACCAUUGUCAUUCAGUUAUUCACAUAAGGAUGUCCGGGAGAAUAUCAGCUCAUCCAAUGUUUCAUCCUCUGGAACAACUCACACUGUACCAAAGCCAAGUACUUUGACCUUUAAAACCACUAUCAUUCCUAAAACUAAUUCCAGUACACUCCCAGAUAUGUCACCUUCGAUGAUGGGCUCAAAAUUCUCUCAGUCUCCGCUUUCUGUUAAAACUUUAUCUGGGGAUUCUGGAGGCGUAUCUUCCAUGAUUACAAAGAACAGACAGGGUGGACAGGCAGUGCCAUCUGCGGGAAGCACAAAAGGAUUGGAUGUUUCUCCACAGAGUGUGGGUGGUGCAUUUAGAGAUCUUAACAAACCAUUGUCUCCUGAACCUUCCAAGUCUGCUCUGUUACAAGGGAAGACUGUGCAACUUAGUAAGAUUACUGAUACAGUGCAGAUCCCAGCGAAAGGUAAACCUGAGGUGGCAUUUCAACCUCCUGCAUUUUCUCCAACACCUGUUGCACAAUCCUCUCCAUAUUCUAUUAAGACAGCUGCCCCCUCUUCAGCUACAUCAUCCUCAUCAACUAUGAAAGAAGCAGCUACAAAAAUUUCAGAUGCUUUGUCUCCAACAGUUCCUUCCGUUUUUCCACCAAAGGAAUCAAUGCCAGAACCUUCAUCACCAUUACCUGAUAGUCCUAUAUCUAGCUCCCUACCAUCUAUUCCAACCCCUGUUAAGGAGUCAUCAACUGGCUUGAAUAAAAUUGUAUCUAUGCCUGAAGUGGGUACAUCAGAGGUAACUGGAACAACAGUUUCUGCAAGUACUAGUUCGAGCAUACCAAUCACUGAAGGCAAGCCUCCAUCGAUUCCAGAAACUAAUGGAAGCUUACCUUCAGUACCUAUCUCUGCGCCUGAAGUGGCACCAGCGGCCACAGAAUCUAUUGUUGUCACUUCCACCGGAAAAGAUGUAGGACCAAACAAUCUCUCAUCAGAUGAAGAUGAUAUGGAAGAGGAGGUUCCUUCUGCAAGUUCGGAUCUCAACUUGGCUGCCCUUGGUGGUUUUGGUCUUGGGUCUGUGCCUUCUUCAAGUCCUCAAAAGUCCAAUCCAUUUGGGAACUCAUUUACUACCUCUGACAAUAAAAGUUCAGGUUCGUCAUUUACUCUGACAACUAGUCCAGGACAGCUUUUCCGUCCGGCAUCACUGAGUAUUCCUUCAUCUCAGCAAGCCCAGUCAUCCCAAUCAGCUAGCUCCACUACAUUUUCUAGUGCAUUCUCAAGUGGGCUUAGUGGAUUCGGGCAGCCUGUACAGAUUGGAUCAGGGCAGCAGUCUGGGUUUGGGCAGCCUGCACAAAUCGGAGCUGGGCAGCAGUCAGGAUUUGGUCAGCCAGCACAAAGUCAGUCAGGAUUUGGUCAACCAGCACAAGUUGGAGUUGCGCAACAGUCAGGAUUUGGGCAGCCUGCGCAAAUUGGGGCAGCACAGCAGUCAGGAUUUGGGCAGCACGCACAGUUUGGUGCUCAGCAAGCUCUUGGAUCUGUCCUAGGUUCUUUUGGACAAUCACGCCAAUUGGGAAGUUUUGGCGCUGGAGGAUUUGGUGGGUUUGCUAGUGCUUCCACUUCUGGGGGCUUUGCUUCUUUAUCUUCCAGCAGUUCUGGAUUUGCUGGUGGUGCAACAGGUGGUAGCUUUUCUGCAGCUGCUGCUCCUGCUGGUGGAGGGUUUGCUGCUGCUGCUGGUCCUGCUGGUGGAGGGUUUGCUGCUCUUGCCUCCAAAGGUGGAGGUUUUGCGUCUGCAGCUUCAUCUGGUGGCGGUUUUGGAGGUGCAACCCAGGGAAGUGCCUUCAGCAGUGGUGGAUUUGGAGCUUUUGGUGGUAAUCAAGGGUCUGGCUUCUCGGCAUUUGCGGGGAGUGGCUCUGCUGGAUCUGGAGGACCCCCAGCUAAUCUUUUGACACAGAUGAGAAAAUAGUAGAGUUGUAAUUCCAGAGGGUACGGCCGGACAGAUGGGCAAAGAGAGAACAAAAGCAUAUGAUACCAAACAUUUAACAAGUAACAACCGAAUGUAUUCAUGUAAUCUUUUCCCAAAUAUAUAUAUAACAGCAUAAAAACGGACUUAGAAAAAGCUAAGGGCACAAGGACUGAAGGAGUUUGUUCCAUAUUCUAAGCUGGAGAAUCAGGCAGCUAUCAGCAGGAACAGAACAUAUUCAACUUCAAUAUAUAGCUGAGGAAAUACAGAUGAAAUUUUAUCGGCACACGUAACAGCAACAGGCACAAUCCCAAGAAAAAGUGCAAAUGCAAGAGAACUUUGAAAGAACAGCGAAGAAUACUGAUGUGCUCUCUUCCUUUGUAUGCCCAUACUCUUGUCAAUCCUUUUUCAACAAGCCCCUGCAGCAUCUGAAUAUUUUGAUGUGUGGUUUCAUCACUCUCCUGGCACAUGUUACGUUAUUAACUUUGUAACUACCUAUCUUGGUACCUGAAUAAACAUUAACAUAAGUCUGGAUAAACUGUUCCUACUUAGUAAAUGGUCUGCCGUACUAGUAUGACUGUCUUCUUUUUAAUGAUAUUAGAGUAGGAUAAAAACUACUACCUGCAUUUUUUGUGAUGAAU